GAGUUUGAACCAGGACCAGGCGCCAUGGCAGGAUCCGUGGAUGAAGACAAAGUGUUUGUGAAAAUGCGGCUGAGAAGAAUUGGAGAAUGGGAAGAAGAGGGACAGGGGAAUGAGUAGUAACAGAUUAACAUGGAAAAUUCAGCAAGUAGCAGCGAUGAUGAAAGAAAUAUGAUCCCACAAAAACAUAGCGAAAUAAGUAUUCCACGUGGCCCAACUACAAUGUUUGAGUUGGCACAAAUAAGAACAUCUAGACAACGGUUGACCAUUGAUUAUAAUGAACAUGGACAAUUGAUUGGAUUUGAAGCAAAGAAGAUGCAAAGUUAUAUAGGAGUUUGUGUUCGACAACAAAUACCUAUAACAUAUAAUUCUUAGAAAAAAGUUCCAAACCAUUUAAAGGAUAAACUUUUUGAUUGUGUAGCAAUAUGAUUUCUAAAAUUUUAAUUUAUGUGCAUAGUAGUUUAUUAGUUUAUUGCUUAAUUACUUUUUUCAUUAUGCAGAUGUCGUUCGAUGUGGACUCUAAGUCCAAACAUGGUAUACUUAUGUCUGCAUCUAGGGAGUUUCGGACUUUGAAGACUACAUUGGCUCAAAAGUUCAUACUUCCAUUUAAGGAUGAACCUUCGGUUUUACAAUUUCCUCCCCAACAAUAUUCUCAUAUAGAGCAAGAUCACUGGACAUCGUUCGUUAAUGAACGAUUGAGUGAAAAAUGGGAUGUAAGUCAUUCUAAAUAAAUUAAUUAAAUGUCAAUAUUAUCAUUGUUUUGAUAGGUAACUCCAACUAGAUUUCUUAUACAAGAAAUCAGUCGUCUUCAAAAAGAAAGACGUGUGAAAUAUGUAUAUAAUCAUCACAUUUCUUGGAAAGGUUAUGCGAAUCUUGUCCAAGAAUUAGUAAGUUUUUUUACUUAAAUUAUAUUUGUUAUUCUAAUAUGUUUAUACUAAUUAAAUAUGUAUGUUCAUGUUGAACCUAUCGAGUGAUCCUUCUUAUCGGGCGACUUUAUGGAAAGAAGCAAGAAAAGGAAAAAAUAAUGAAUACUUUGAUGAAGCUACUCGAGAAUGUGCCAAUCGAAUUGUAAGUUUAUAUUGUGCAAAGUUUAAGAUGGCAUAUAUAUAAUGUCUGAAACUUGUGAUGAUAUAGAUAUUGUGUGAAAAUUGUAAUAUGGUUUACAGGAUAAAUCGGCUGAAGCCUAUGAAGGUGAAGAUGUUUUGACCAAAGCAUUGGGUACAGAGGAACAGGUGGGACGUGUUAGAGGAAUGGGUGAUUUUGUUUCUCAUUCCCAAUAUUUUAAAUUAGUAAAACCAAAGUCCUUAAUGAGCCAAGAAAUUGAAGGAGGCUCUAAUGAAAAAAAUGUUCGACAUGGUAAAGUAUCAAUAGAAAGAACUCACAGCAGACAAUCUCAUCAGUCCAAAUCAUCUGUUGGAAGUGUUGCACUAAGUGCAUCUGAAGAAGAAGAUACUGAGAAGAUGCCUAAAAAAUAUUUGGAGGACCAUUCAACAAUUAAGAGCUUCAGCCAGUCCUCCAAAUAUACUGACGCCAAUGGUACCAUCAAACUCUUGAACGGACAUGUCAUGCAUAACAUGAACGAUGUAGACAUAAUCCGUAUCACUUUGGAUGAGCAUAUAUUUGGAAGAGACAAAUUUAUUUAUUUAGGCCGCGAUGAUCUAAUCCAAUAUUGUAAUAUGGUUGAAAUAGGCUACAUGUGUAUUUUGACAUACAUUGCGUAUCUUUGGGAUGAAUGUGGUCAUGAUAUUACAAAGAAGGGUUUUAUAAUUGAUCGAGCUAGAAUAUCGCCACACGUGAAGUCUCAAGAUAUUUGAUCCAAAAAUUUAGCCAAUCAACUAGAAUUGGCUAAUUUAGACCAAUUAGUCCUUAUUCCAUAUAACACAGAAUAAUUAUCAUUGGAUAUUGAUUGUAAUCAAUCUACAAGAAAAUUGUGUUUAUGUUUUGGACUCUCUUCGAAGUAAGAUCUAAGAGGAUUUUCAUGGAGUUAUAAAUAUUGGAUUGAAAACAUGGCAAGCCAAGCACG